AUUGAACGCUGGCGGCAGGCCUAACACAUGCAAGUCGAGCGAGCGGCGGACGGGUGAGUAAUGUAUGGCUACUGCCCGAUAGAGAUGGAUAACUACUGGAAACGGUAGCUACUACCGCAUACUAUCGGCUAACCCAUAUGGGCUUAGCUGGUAGUUGAGGGAAUGGCUCACAUAGGCGACGAUCCCUAGCUGGUCUGAGAGGAUGAUCAGCCACACUGGGACUGAGACACGGCCCAGACUCCAAGGGAGGCAGCAGUGGGGAAGAUUGCACAAUGGGCGAAAGCCUGAUGCAGCCAUGCCGAGGGUAUGAAGAAGGCCCGAGGAGUGUAAAGUACUUUAAGUCGGGAGGCGUUACCGACAGAAGAAGCAACGGCUAAAUCCGUGCCAGCAGCCGCGGUAAUUC
rnacentral:rRNA from 1 species